rnacentral:rRNA from 1 species
AUGGCAGGCAAGAUCACGGUCGGCACCUUCACCCUCCUCGCGGCGCAGCUCCUCAUCCUCACGUCCACUCCAACGAUGGCGAUAUCCAUCCCGCCGGCUACCACAACUAGUACUACCGUGCCGUCGGCUCCCGCGACGGACGUGCCGGCUCUCCCGUUCCCGGGCGAGGGCGAGGUGGCCGAGGCCGCGGCUGACUGCUGGAAGGUGGUGCUGCAGGCGAAGAGCUGCGCAGUCGACAUCCUCGAGUGGCUUGUAUCCCCGGAGCUCGCCGGCCACGUGAGCCUGGCGUGCUGCAGCGUGCUGCAGAGGGUCGGCGACAGGUGCCUCCGCGAUCUCUUUCCCGACUCUGCGGUCGGCAAGCUCUUCCCUCCCCUGGUCAGUCACUCGUGCGGGAUCCCCUUAGGGACAACCCCCGGCCGACGCCAGUAA